rnacentral:sRNA from 1 species
UUGCUAUCUGCGAUAUGGAAGAUUCGCACCUACCGCAGGUCCGGGUCUCUCGUAGUGAGACAACGGAGCCGCGUGCGGCGUCGGCCCGAAGGGCGAGCGACGCGAGUCAUCCUGCACGACCCACCA